rnacentral:rRNA from 1 species
GAGUUUGAUCGUGGCUCAGAUUGAACGCUGGCGGCAUGCCUUACACAUGCAAGUCGAACGGUAACAGGUCUUCGGAUGCUGACGAGUGGCGAACGGGUGAGUAAUACAUCGGAACGUGCCCGAUCGUGGGGGGAUAACGAAGCGAAAGCUUUGCUAAUACCGCAUACGAUCUACGGAUGAAAGCAGGGGACCGCAAGGCCUUGCGCGAACGGAGCAGCCGAUGGCAGAUUAGGUAGUUGGUGGGAUAAAAGCUUACCAAGCCGACGAUCUGUAGCUGGUCUGAGAGGACGACCAGCCACACUGGGACUGAGACACGGCCCAGACUCCUACGGGAGGCAGCAGUGGGAAUUUUGGACAAUGGGCGAAAGCCUGAUCCAGCCAUGCCGCGUGCAGGAUGAAGGCCUCGGUUGUAAC